CCGUUGAUGUUAGCUAGCACUAGCUGGCUGAUACUAGCAAUUUCUAGUCUUCAUUUAAUAAAUAUAACCUGUAUUAGUACACAAUCAUUUGUGAUUUGUUUUGAUUACAAUGUGCGGAAUUACUUUACAUUGGCUAUUUAUGUAUAUUUAUUUCUCUUUAAUCACUGGUGUCUGUACAGCAUCAAAAUGGGUUGCCAUUGUUGUUUAUGUGUGUGUCUGACGUCAAAAACUGUAAUUGGGAGAACAAUGAUCUGGUACAAGUUCAGGAGUAGUAAGUUACGGGUUUGACUGCCGUUCCAGGGCACUUUCACGGAGCAUAAAGUCAAGUU